GGAUUAGAUACCCUGGUAGUCCUAGCUGUAAACGAUGGAUACUAAGUGUCGGGUGCACUGUUCGCAGGGUAUUCGGUGCUGAAGCUAACGCGUUAAGUAUCCCGCCUGGGGAGUACGUCCGCAAGGAUGAAACUCAAAGGAAUUGACGGGGGCCCGCACAAGCGGUGGAGCAUGUGGUUUAAUUCGAUGCAACGCGAAGAACCUUACCAGGAAUUGACAUAUUCGUUGGUUUUUUAGAAAUAGAAAACUGUUAAAGAAAUACAGGUGGUGCAUGGCUGUCGUCAGCUCGUGCUG
rnacentral:rRNA from 1 species